rnacentral:lncRNA from 1 species
GCAUUCCCCAGAAGAAAGUUUAGCCAAGGUAUCUACAGAGCAUGUGUCAUCCCUGGAAUGCUCUCUGCUGCAUCUCGGAUCCUGGAGAACCCGAUCUUCCACAUGCUUCUGUCUGGGAGGGUUAGAGCUCUUUGAGGACUGCUCGAAGCGCUUUGCUGAGUACUGACACAAUUCUCUCAAAAAAUUCGUGUGCUUGGUACAGUCGAGGAACAUGAGGACACACAUGCUUCCAUCACCUGGGAAUAUUCCCAACUUUAUAGAUGUGUAAAAAAAGGCAGCUGUCUACAACCUGGGAUGAAGACUUUCCCCCAGAUAAUUCCUGGGCCAGGAUGCUGACUUUGGACUUUUAACCUCAAGAAUGAACAUCCCAUACCUACAGCUCCAAUGAGGCACAUGAGGAAGAGGAGGCCGAUGCAGAAGAAGAUAUCUGUGUUGAUGCGCCGCUCGAUUUUGCUGCGUUUGUAUCGGGGGCCACUAUUGUUCAGCAUGGCUUUUGUUUCAUGGCCUUUGAGAGAAAA